CUCACACACACACACACUCUCACCCUCUCACACGCACUCACACGCACAAUCACCACCACCACAGUCACACACACACACACACACACACACACACACACACACAAACACACACACACAUAAACACACAUCUCCACCUCACUAUCUUUUAAUACACUUAAUUGAGCAAAUGUAGUCUUGCUCACACCAGCACACUUCUGUAUGUCCGUAGCAACACACUCCUGCCCUGUGAUGACUUGUAAAAUCCCAGGGCACACCUCUUCGCCUUUGUAAGUCAGCUUUCGUCCCGGCGAUUUCAUCAAAGUCACUAAAUCAGGACGAUUUGAAGUGUGACCUCAGUGCAAACAGGGAUAGAGAAAGCAUGAUUAUGUAGUGCUGGAUACUAGUAACUAAGGUGUUUUUUUUUUUGUUUUUUUUUUUUACAAUGGCUAGCAUGUCUGCUUUUAAGCUCAAAUUAUUCUACAACCAUACUAUGCAGUAAAAUAUAAGGAGAAGGGGUCAUCUGUGCACAAUUUCACCAGUGUCAUUCAUAAGAUACAGGAAGUACUUAGCAUACUGCAGCUUGGCACUGCGCUCAUAGGACACUAGCUAGAUCCGAUCUGCUGUAGUGGCAUGGGGUAUAACCUAAAUCUGGUGCUGGACACCAUUAGAGCUGUUUUUUUGCUGUACAAUAUUGAAGAACUACACGUCUCAGUCUUUUCAAUGAAAGAUGAACUACUAUUAUUGGGAUUUCAAAUAAUCAGAUUCUAGGUGCUGCAAAAAUUCAACUUAAAUCUUUAAAUCAACUGGGAUUUACUAUUCAUAGUAUUUAUUUUAUAUGAUGCAAUCAACUGUGACCAGAUUCUAGCAUGAUCUUUUUUUCUGCGGUAUUCAGAGGCCUACUUGCCCUCCAGCAUCGAAUGUUUUUCUUCUUUUUGAGGACUCUUUUUUUUUUUUUUUUUUCCCUAACACCAGCUCCUAGAUCUCAGCUGCAUAUCCAGUCCCAAUGUCAAACUCCUCUGGGUAUUUCUGAAUGUGUGCUGCUCACCCUCUGCUGGCCUCAGUCGGGUGUCUGCCGGGUAAGCAGCGAUGUGACAUCUCACAACGUCUCUACCCAGAGUAGUACCCGGGGAAAAGUUCUGGUACUGUGUAGUGUGCUUUGAGUGUUCCCACAGACGGGCUGUGGACGUCUUUUGUGGCUUGGUUCUUCUGUGUCGGGUCCAGGCUGUGUUUAAUGGGUGUCUUCAAAUGCUGGGGUUAAAGAUGAUGCUGUUUUUUUUGGUUUGUUUACUUGUUUUGUUUUAUUCCUAUGACUUAACGUGAUCGGAAAACUUCAUUAGAACAGUUUGUGGUUGUUUAUGUUUGGGUGGGCUUUUGCAAAUUACUAAUGAUGGAAUUAUGUGAAUUUGAGGUGUUGAAGAACACAGCCUUUUCGUUAUCAUGAAGGAAAUUAAACACUUGUUUUACAACAAA
ensembl:lncRNA